rnacentral:rRNA from 1 species
GACGAACGCUGGCGGCGUGCUUAACACAUGCAAGUCGAACGAUGAAGCCUAGCUUGCUAGGUGGAUUAGUGGCGAACGGGUGAGUAAUACGUGAGUAACCUACCUUUAACUCUGGGAUAAGCCUGGGAAACUGGGUCUAAUACCGGAUACGACCAAUCUCCGCAUGGGGUGUUGGUGGAAAGCGUUAUGUAGUGGUUAUAGAUGGGCUCGCGGCCUAUCAGCUUGUUGGUGAGGUAACGGCUCACCAAGGCGACGACGGGUAGCCGGCCUGAGAGGGUGACCGGCCACACUGGGACUGAGACACGGCCCAGACUCCUACGGGAGGCAGCAGUGGGGAAUAUUGCACAAUGGGCGCAAGCCUGAUGCAGCGACGCCGCGUGAGGGAUGACGGCCUUCGGGUUGUAAACCUCUGUUAGCAGGGAAGAAGAGAGAUUGACGGUACCUGCAGAGAAAGCGCCGGCUAACUACGUGCCAGCAGCCGCGGUAAUACGUAGGGCGCGAGCGUUGUCCGGAAUUAUUGGGCGUAAAGAGCUUGUAAGCGGUUUGUCGCGUCUGCUGUGAAGGCCGGAGCUUAACCCCGUGUAUUGCAGUGGGUACGGGCAGACUAGAGUGCAGUAGGGGAGACUGGAAUUCCUGGUGUAGCGGUGGAAUGCGCAGAUAUCAGGAGGAACACCGAUGGCGAAGGCAGGUCUCUGGGCUGUAACUGACGCUGAGAAGCGAAAGCAUGGGGAGCGAACAGGAUUAGAUACCCUGGUAGUCCAUGCCGUAAACGUUGGGCACUAGGUGUGGGGAACAUUCCACGUUUUCCGCGCCGUAGCUAACGCAUUAAGUGCCCCGCCUGGGGAGUACGGCCGCAAGGCUAAAACUCAAAGAAAUUGACGGGGGCCCGCACAAGCGGCGGAGCAUGCGGAUUAAUUCGAUGCAACGCGAAGAACCUUACCAAGGCUUGACAUAUACUGGACCGCAUCAGAGAUGGUGUUUCCCUUCGGGGCUGGUAUACAGGUGGUGCAUGGUUGUCGUCAGCUCGUGUCGUGAGAUGUUGGGUUAAGUCCCGCAACGAGCGCAACCCUCGUUCUAUGUUGCCAGCACGUUAUGGUGGGGACUCAUAGGAGACUGCCGGGGUCAACUCGGAGGAAGGUGGGGAUGACGUCAAACCAUCAUGCCCCUUAUGUCUUGGGCUUCACGCAUGCUACAAUGGCCGGUACAGAGGGUUGCGAUACUGUGAGGUGGAGCUAAUCCCUAAAAGCCGGUCUCAGUUCGGAUUGGGGUCUGCAACUCGACCCCAUGAAGUCGGAGUCGCUAGUAAUCGCAGAUCAGCAACGCUGCGGUGAAUACGUUCCCGGGCCU